CAGCCGCCGCGGUAAUACCGGCGGCCCGAGUGGCGGUCACUAUUAUUGGGCUUAAAGCGUCCGUAGCCGGGUUGGGAAGUCCUCCGGGAAAUCUGGCCGCUUAACGGUCAGAAUGCCGGAGGAUACUCCCAGCCUAGGGAGCGGGGGAGGCCGAGGGGAUUCCCGGAGUAGGGGUGAAAUCCUAUAAUCCCGGGAGGACCACCUGUGGCGAAGGCGCUCGGCUGGAACGCGUCCGACGGUGAGGGCCGAAGGCCAGGGGAGCAAACCGGAUUAGAUACCCGGGUAGUCCUGGCUGUAAACGAUGCGGACUUUGUGUCGGACAAGCUAUGAGCUUGUCCGGUGCCGGAGGGAAACCGUUAAGUCCGCCGCCUGGGGAGUACGGCCGCAAGGCUGAAACUUAAAGGAAUUGGCGGG
rnacentral:rRNA from 1 species